UUUACUUUAGAUUUUGUUUGUUACAUUCCAGAAAGAUCAGAAAAGUUCACUGGACACGCUAUCAGAGUCUGUUA